AGUGAACGCUGGCGGUAGGCCUAGCACAUGCAAGUCGAACGGCAGCACAGUAAGAGCUUGCUCUUACGGGUGGCGAGUGGCGGACGGGUGAGGAAUACAUCGGAAUCUACUUUUUCGUGGGGGAUAACGUAGGGAAACUUACGCUAAUACCGCAUACGACCUACGGGUGAAAGCAGGGGAUCUUCGGACCUUGCGCGAUUGAAUGAGCCGAUGUCGGAUUAGCUAGUUGGCGGGGUAAAGGCCCACCAAGGCGACGAUCCGUAGCUGGUCUGAGAGGAUGAUCAGCCACACUGGAACUGAGACACGGUCCAGACUCCUACGGGAGGCAGCAGUGGGGAAUAUUGGACAAUGGGCGCAAGCCUGAUCCAGCCAUACCGCGUGGGUGAAGAAGGCCUUCGGGUUGUAAAGCCCUUUUAUUGGGAAAGAAAAGCAGCAGGUUAAUACCCCGCUGUUCUGACGGUACCCAAAGAAUAAGCACCGGCUAACUUCGUG
rnacentral:rRNA from 1 species